UAGGGAAUCUUCCACAAUGGACGAAAGUCUGAUGGAGCAACGCCGCGUGAGUGAAGAAGGUUUUCGGAUCGUAAAGCUCUGUUGUUGGUGAAGAAGGAUAGAGGCAGUAACUGGUCUUUAUUUGACGGUAAUCAACCAGAAAGUCACGGCUAACUACGUGCCAGCAGCCGCGGUAAUACGUAGGUGGCAAGCGUUGUCCGGAUUUAUUGGGCGUAAAGCGAGCGCAGGCGGAAUGAUAAGUCUGAUGUGAAAGCCCACGGCUCAACCGUGGAACUGCAUCGGAAACUGUCAUUCUUGAGUGCAGAAGAGGAGAGUGGAACUCCAUGUGUAGCGGUGGAAUGCGUAGAUAUAUGGAAGAACACCAGUGGCGAAGGCGGCUCUCUGGUCUGCAACUGACGCUGAGGCUCGAAAGCAUGGGUAGCGAACAGGAUUAGAUACCCUGGUAGUCCAUGCCGUAAACGAUGAGCGCUAGGUGUUGGGGACUUUCCGGUCCUCAGUGCCGCAGCAAACGCAUUAAGCGCUCCGCCUGGGGAGUACGACCGCAAGGUUGA
rnacentral:rRNA from 1 species